rfam:TPA: Bos taurus chromosome 27, whole genome shotgun sequence.
UCCCUGGUGGCUCAGAUGGUAAAGCGUCUGCCUACAAUGCAGGAGACCCAGGUUCGAUCCUUGGGUCUGGAA